ensembl:ncRNA H30A04.10 ncRNA
UGUAAUCAGCUCUUUUGCAAUUGAGAGGAGGAGGAGGAGAAAAACAGAAAGCAGUGCGGGCAACGGCGCUUGCGCUUGUGUCUACUUGGAACUUGCUUCAAAGAAAAAGCUUCAGGAUGGA